CCACCCUUUGUGAACGUACCUCUGUUGCUUUGGCGGCUCCGGCCGCCAAAGGACCUUCAAACUCCAGUCAGUAAACGCAGACGUCUGAUAAACAAGUUAAUAAACUAAAACUUUCAACAACGGAUCUCUUGGUUCUGGCAUCGAUGAAGAACGCAGCGAAAUGCGAUAAGUAAUGUGAAUUGCAGAAUUCAGUGAAUCAUCGAAUCUUUGAACGCACAUUGCGCCCCUUGGUAUUCCGGGGGGCAUGCCUGUUCGAGCGUCAUUACAACCCUCAAGCUCUGCUUGGAAUUGGGCACCGUCCUCACUGCGGACGCGCCUCAAAGACCUCGGCGGUGGCUGUUCAGCCCUCAAGCGUAGUAGAAUACACCUCGCUUUGGAGCGGUUGGCGUCGCCCGCCGGACGAACCUUCUGAACUUUUCUCAAGGUUGACCUCGGAUCAGGUAGGGAUACCCGCUGAACUUAAGCAUAU
rnacentral:rRNA from 1 species